rnacentral:tRNA from 1 species
GGGGGUGUAGCUCAGCUGGGAGAGCGCUUGCUUCGCAUGUAAGAAGUCGUGGGUUCGAGUCCCAUCAUCUCCACCA